AGUGAACGCUGGCGGUAGGCCUAACACAUGCAAGUCGAACGGCAGCACAGUAAGAGCUUGCUCUUACGGGUGGCGAGUGGCGGACGGGUGAGGAAUACAUCGGAAUCUACUUUUUCGUGGGGGAUAACGUAGGGAAACUUACGCUAAUACCGCAUACGACCUACGGGUGAAAGCAGGGGAUCUUCGGACCUUGCGCGAUUGAAUGAGCCGAUGUCGGAUUAGCUAGUUGGCGGGGUAAAGGCCCACCAAGGCGACGAUCCGUAGCUGGUCUGAGAGGAUGAUCAGCCAAGCUGGGACUGAGACACGGUCCAGACUCCUACGGGAGGCAGCAGUGGGGAAUUUUGGACAAUGGGCGCAAGCCUGAUCCAGCCAUACCGCGUGGGUGAAGAAGGCCUUCGGGUUGUAAAACCCUUUUGUUGGGAAAGAAAAGCAGCAGGUUAAUACCCCGCUGUUCUGACGGUACCCAAAAAAUAAGCACCGGCUAACUUCGUGC
rnacentral:rRNA from 1 species